rnacentral:lncRNA from 1 species
CAACUAGGCCAUCUUCUUCGGAUGGUCCGUUGCCCCCGCCGCCUGCUCCUGCUGUUCUUGGGUUCUUGAUGGAUCUUUCACGUCUUUGCUUUGGUGGCCGUUUCUUGGUCUUAUUUGGGAUGUUUCUUGGAUCUCGGGGUCUUGCAGGGCGCAGAAAACAAGGAUUUUGCAGAAGCUCAAUGUUUGCAGUUCUCAAGAUUUCCUUGUUUUAAUUUCCAUCCAUUUGUUUCUUCCCCAGACCCAGCUUAUGUGGGAGCUUUUGCUCUACGUAUGCCCUUUUCAAUUUCCAUCUAUUUGUAUUAACCAAAUUUUUGUUUCUUCUGCCAAUUUUACAGAGAUCUUUGAUUUUUGUUGAGAUCUUUGAUUUAAGUGGGUCCGACCGUCCAAGAGUGUAAUCGUGUGACAGUAUGAGACAAUAUUGUAAUUACAAGGUUGCACAUAAAGGUGGAUUCUAUUUUCAUUAUAUGGUUCUGUUGGACAAGAAAUUAUUAGUGAAAAUUUGUAUUGUUACAAUUGGAAACGGCUUUUCAGCUGCUUGUGUUUGCAAAGAUGCUUCCCGAUUGAUAAGCCAGCCUUGCGUGGCGCAUGCAUGGAAUAGGGUGCUGCUAUUUCAGAAGCGAGCACGGUGGUGUUAUUUCGUUGAAGUGCACUUAAAUUGCCAAAUUAUAACUUUGCAUCAAUAUUCUCGCUUAAUUGAAAUUGAAGUGCAGUUAAAUUACCGAUUUAUAACUUUGCAUCAAUAAUAUUGCUUAAUUAAAAAAUUCAUGUUUACAUAAAAAAUGAUAUUAGCCUAUUACGUCGUGUAGAGGAAGAUUAAUUUGCGAAACAAUUGCAUAGAUGAAGAUUAAUUUACGAGACGAAUCUAUUAAGUCUAAUUAAUUUAUAAUUAGCACAUGUUUAAACAAAUAAGUCUAAUUAAUUUAUAAUUAGCACAUAUUUAAACAAAUAUUCGUGGACUAAUUAGGUUUAAUAGAUUCGUCUCGUGGAUUAGCCUCCAUCUAUGUAAUUG